rnacentral:rRNA from 1 species
UACGGAGGGAGCAAGCGUUGUUCGGAUUUACUGGGCGUAAAGGGCGCGUAGGCGGUCAGCACAAGUCAGUUGUGAAAUCUCCGGGCUUAACUCGGAAAGGUCAACUGAUACUGUGCGACUAGAGUGCAGAAGGGGCAACUGGAAUUCUCGGUGUAGCGGUGAAAUGCGUAGAUAUCGAGAGGAACACCUGCGGCGAAGGCGGGUUGCUGGGCUGACACUGACGCUGAGGCGCGAAAGCCAGGGGAGCGAACGGG